rnacentral:rRNA from 1 species
GAUGAACGCUAGCGGCAGGCUUAAUACAUGCAAGUCGAGGGGCAGCAGGGUGUAGCAAUACAUCGCUGGCGACCGGCAAACGGGUGCGGAACACGUACGCAACCUUCCUUCAAGUGGGGAAUAGCCCGGGGAAACCCGGAUUAAUACCCCGUAAUAUUAUGAGGCGGCAUCACCUUAUAAUUAUAGUUCCGACGCUUGAAGAUGGGCGUGCGCCUGAUUAGGUAGUUGGCGGGGUAACGGCCCACCAAGCCUACGAUCAGUAACUGGUGUGAGAGCACGACCAGUAACACGGGAACUGGGACACGGGCCCGACUCCUACGGGAGGCAGCAGUAAGGAAUAUUGGUCAAUGGACGCAAGUCUGAACCAGCCAUGCCGCGUGGAGGAUGAAGGUCCUCUGGAUUGUAAACUUCUUUUAUUUGGGAAGAAACCCAUAUUUUCUAAUGUGGUUGACGGUACCAAGUGAAUAAGCACCGGCUAACUCCGUGCCAGCCGCCGCGGUAAGAC